UGUUACUUUAGGCGAGUAUGAUCAGACAAUACUGGGUACUGACGGGAACCCAGUCUCCAUCAACAAGCUUUUGGAUAUGUUAAAUAACGAGACUCUGAAGGGGAUUCCAAAGUUGUGCUUUCUACAGGCUUGUAGGUCGAUCAAAAACGACCCUGAAGAUGUAAAAUAUGAUUCGGGUGUGGAUGUUGUGAUCUCCAAUCCCAAAACGAAGUAGGAGAUUGUCUCCAUACAUCCAGAAGGCAAUUACGAUGAGACUAAAAAAACUUCAUUGUCCGACCAAACAAAAGUGAC